GACGAACGCUGGCGGCGUGCUUAACACAUGCAAGUCGAACGGAAAGGCCCUGCUUUUGUGGGGUGCUCGAGUGGCGAAAGGGUGAGUAACACGUGAGUAACCUGCCCUUGACUUUGGGAUAACUUCAGGAAACUGGGGCUAAUACCGGAUAGGAGCUCCUGCUGCAUGGUGGGGGUUUGAAAGUUUCGGCGGUUGGGGAUGGACUCGCGGCUUAGCAGCUUGUUGGUGGGGUAGUGGCUUACCAAGGCUUUGACGGAUAGCCGGCCUGAGAGGGUGACCGGCCUCAUUGGGACUGCGCUACGGCCCAGACUCCUACGGGAGGCAGCCGUGGGGAAUAUUGCACAAUGGGCGGAAGCCUGAUGCAGCAACGCCGCGUGCGUGAUGACGGCCUUCGGGUUGUAAACCGCUUUCGCCUGUGACGCAGCGUGAGUGACGGUAAUGGGUAAAGAAGCACCGGCUAACUACGUG
rnacentral:rRNA from 1 species